AUGAGAUAUGAUGAUGUAUAUCCAUAUAUUCUGCAAUUGAAUGAUGAACAAAACAUGCACUACCAUCUGAUCUCUU
rnacentral:snoRNA from 1 species